GAAGGCGUUCUUUAGGAGGACGUUCAGGUGGACCAAGAUCAUUUCUCAGUCGACGCUCGAAGCCUUCUUCUUCUUGUUGUUCUUCUUGUGCGCGGGAAUGUACGUGGAGACGGUACAAACGUCGUUGUACAUCGUCGAAGUUAGAGGCGAUGCGCGAGAUCGAGACGGAGGAAAGGGGCCGUGGAAUUUCCUUACUAUGUACUCCUAUAUACAUAAAAAGAGAGGAUGCAAAGAUUAAAGGAUCCCGUCGACUCGUUAGAGAAUCUGGAAAACGGUGCGAAGUGUGAGAGAAAACGAUCGCCGCAGUUCCCGUGAAGAAGAAACCAAUGGAAGCAUCAUAAUUUUGGAUCGUAGGCCUCGAUAACUUCGCUAUACGCUCUUCGCUCCCGGCUACGUUGAAUCCAAAUUGUAUACAUUGUAAUAAAGACCUUAAUAAAUGUUGCUCGUGAACUUGCCGCUAAUACACGUAUCGAGGCAUAU